UACGAAGGGGGCUAGCGUUGCUCGGAAUCACUGGGCGUAAAGCGCACGUAGGCGGAUUGUUAAGUCAGGGGUGAAAUCCUGGAGCUCAACUCCAGAACUGCCUUUGAUACUGGCGAUCUCGAGUCCGGGAGAGGGAUGUGGAAUUCCAGGUGUAGCGGUGAAAUGCGUAGAUAUCUGGAGGAACACCGGUGGCGAAGGCGGCAUCCUGGACCGGUAUUGACGCUGAGGCGCGAAAGCUAGGGGAGCAAACGGG
rnacentral:rRNA from 1 species